rnacentral:rRNA from 1 species
GGGGGGACGCUUACCACUUUGUGGUUCAUGACUGGGGUGAAGUCGUAACAAGGUAGCGCUAGGGGAACCUGGCGCUGGAUCACCUCCUUAAACGAUGAU